rnacentral:rRNA from 1 species
UGGGGAAUAUUGGACAAUGGACCAAGAGUCUGAUCCAGCAAUUCUGUGUGCACGAUGAAGUUUUUCGGAAUGUAAAGUGCUUUCAGUUGGGAAGAAGAAAGUGACGGUACCAACAGAAGAAGCGACGGCUAAAUACGUGCCAGCAGCCGCGGUAAUACGUAUGUCGCAAGCGUUAUCCGGAUUUAUUGGGCGUAAAGCGCGUCUAGGCGGCAUAGUAAGUCUGAUGUGAAAAUGCGGGGCUCAACUCCGUAUUGCGUUGGAAACUGCUAUGCUAGAGUACUGGAGAGGUAAGCGGAACUACAAGUGUAGAGGUGAAAUUCGUAGAUAUUUGUAGGAAUGCCGAUGGGGAAGCCAGCUUACUGGACAGAUACUGACGCUAAAGCGCGAAAGCGUGGGUAGCAAACAGGAUUAGAUACCCUGGUAGU